UGAUAGACGACAAACUGGAUGAAACUUUAAGUCUCGUUCAGGUAGUGUGUAAAUCAAAAAUUCGAUGGGACUCGCAUCCGUCGUCCUCGCGCGGUCUUUCGUCCCGAUAUCCAGAAGCAGAAGUUUGAAAAACUCUAGCGACGGCACGGGUGUCCGACUCACGACAACGAGGAAAGACAGCCGGUCCCCUCUGAACGGUAUAUUAUAUGAAACUUUAAGUCUCGUUCAGGUAGUGUGUAAGUCAAAAAUUCGAUGGGACUCGCAUCCGUCGUCCUCGCGCGGUCUUUCGUCCCGAUAUCCAGAAGCAGAGUUUGAAAAACUCUAGCGACGGCACGGGUGUCCGACUCACGACAACGAGGAUAGACAGCCGGUCCCCUCUGAACGGUAUAUAAUAUGAAACUUUAAGUCUCGUUCAGGUAGUGUGUAAGUCAAAAAUUCGAUGGGACUCGCAUCCGUCGUCCUCGCGCGGUCUUUCGUCCCGAUAUCCAGAAGCAGAGUUUGAAAAACUCUAGCGACGGCACGGGUGUCCGACUCACGACAACGAGGAUAGACAGCCGGUCCCCUCUGAACGG